rnacentral:pre_miRNA from 1 species
AUGAUACUACCUCCGUCCGGAAUUAGUUGUCGUUGAAAUGGAUGUAUCUAGAUGUAUUUCAAUGCUAGAUACAUCUGUUUGAGCGACAAGUAAUUCUGGAUGGAGGGAGUACAAU